rnacentral:rRNA from 1 species
UACGGGGGGGGCAAGCGUUGUUCGGAAUUACUGGGCGUAAAGGGCUCGUAGGCGGCCAACUAAGUCAUACGUGAAAUCCCUCGGCUUAACCGGGGAACUGCGUCUGAUACUGGAUGGCUCGAGUUUGGGAGAGGGAUGCGGAAUUCCAGGUGUAGCGGUGAAAUGCGUAGAUAUCUGGAGGAACACCGGUGGCGAAGGCGGCAUCCUGGACCAAUACUGACGCUGAAUAGCGAAAGCCAGGGGAGCAAACGGG